rnacentral:tRNA from 1 species
ACCUGAGUGGCUCAGCUGGUUAAGCAUCUGACUUCAGCCCAGGUCAUGAUCACACAGUUCGUGGGUUUGAGCCCCACAUCAGGUU